rnacentral:rRNA from 1 species
UACGUAGGGGGCGAGCGUUGUCCGGAUUUAUUGGGCGUAAAGAGCGUGUAGGCGGUUCGGUAAGUCUGUCGUGAAAUCCUGAGGCUCAACCUCGGGCGUGCGAUGGAUACUGCCGGGCUAGAGGAUGGUAGAGGCGAGUGGAAUUCCUGGUGUAGCGGUGAAAUGCGCAGAUAUCAGGAGGAACACCAAUUGCGAAGGCAGCUCGCUGGGACGUUACUGACGCUGAGACGCGAAAGCGUGGGGAGCAAACAGG